rnacentral:rRNA from 1 species
AUGAAACCUCGUCUUGAGCUAAGCAAGAAGGAGAUGGUGAAACUACUCGGCUACAGUGGUAGUGACAAGAAAGGAAUUGUUGGCGACUGUAAGUGUACCUCGGGCGUGGCAUAUUUUCUUGGUGAAAGCGUAGUAAGCUGGCUAUCACGAAGACAGAAAGUGGUGACAUCGACUUCAAGUAAAGCAGAGUGUCAAGGUGUGUGGCUAGGAUGGCUACACGGUGAUCUCAUGGAUCGAGAUCCGGAACCAGUGGCGCUCAACGUUGACAAUGAGUUUAUAACUUUUUUACCCAAGAAUCCAGUGCGGCAUGAUAGGAGCAAGCACAUUGAUACGAUGUAUCACUAG